AGAGCGAACGUUAGCGGCAGGCCUAACACAUGCAAGUCGAGCGGAAAGGCCCUUCGGGGUACUCGAGCGGCGAACGGGUGAGUAACACGUGAGUAAUCUGCCCCUAGCUCUGGGAUAGCUCCGGGAAACCGGGAUUAAUACCAGAUACGACCACUUUAGACAUCUGUUGUGGUGGAAAGAAUUUUGGCUAGGGAUGAGCUCGCGGCCUAUCAGCUUGUUGGUGAGGUAACGGCUCACCAAGGCGACGACGGGUA
rnacentral:rRNA from 1 species